AUUGAACGCUGGCGGCAUGCCUUACACAUGCAAGUCGAACGGCAGCACGGGUGCUUGCACCUGGUGGCGAGUGGCGAACGGGUGAGUAAUAUAUCGGAACGUACCUUAUUGUGGGGGAUAACGCAGCGAAAGCUGUGCUAAUACCGCAUAAUCCCUAAGGGGGAAAGCGGGGGACCGUAAGGCCUCGCGCAAUUAAACAGGCCGAUACCUGAUUAGCUAGUUGGUGAGGUAAAGGCUCACCAAGGAAACGAUCAGUAGCUGGUCGUAGAGGACGAUCAGCCACACUGGGACUGAGACACGGCCCAGACUCCUACGGGAGGCAGCAGUGAGGAAUCUUGCGCUAAUGCGGGAAACCGUGACGCAGCGACGCCGCGUGAGGGAAGAAGGCCUUCGGGUUGUAAACCUCUUUCAGGAGGGACGAAGCUACUCGGGUUAAUAGCCCAGAGGGUGACGGUACCUCCAGAAGAAGCCCCGGCUAACUACGUGCCAGCCGCCGCCGUAA
rnacentral:rRNA from 1 species